AACGAACGCUGGCGGCAGGCCUAACACAUGCAAGUCGAACGGACGUAGCAAUACGUUAGUGGCGCACGGGAGAGUAACGCGUGGGAACCUACCUUUUGGUUCGGGAUAACAUCGGGAAACUGGUGCUAAUACCGGAUAAGCCCUUCGGGGGAAAGAUUUAUUGCCGAAAGAUGGGCCCGCGUUGGAUUAGCUAGUUGGUGAGGUAAUGGAUCACCAAGGCAACGAUCCAUAGCUGGUCUGAGAGGAUGAUCAGCCUCACUGGGACUGAGACACGGCCCAGACUCCUACGGGAGGCAGCAGUGGGGAAUAUUGGACAAUGGGGGAAACCCUGAUCCAGCCAUGCCGCGUGAAUGAUGAAGGCCUUCGGGUUGUAAAGUUCUUUUGGUGGGGACGAUGAUGACGGUACCCACAGAAUAAGCUCCGGCUAACUUCGUGCCAGCAGCCGCCGUAA
rnacentral:rRNA from 1 species